rnacentral:rRNA from 1 species
UACGUAGGGUGCAAGCGUUAAUCGGAAUUACUGGGCGUAAAGCGUGCGCAGGCGGUUAUGUAAGACAGAUGUGAAAUCCCCGGGCUCAACCUGGGAACUGCAUUUGUGACUGCAUAGCUAGAGUACGGUAGAGGGGGAUGGAAUUCCGCGUGUAGCAGUGAAAUGCGUAGAUAUGCGGAGGAACACCGAUGGCGAAGGCAAUCCCCUGGACCGGUACUGACGCUCAUGCACGAAAGCGUGGGGAGCAAACAGG